rnacentral:rRNA from 1 species
ACUCCUACGGGAGGCAGCAGUGGGGAAUUUUGGACAAUGGGCGCAAGCCUGAUCCAGCAAUGCCGCGUGAGUGAAGAAGGCCUUCGGGUUGUAAAGCUCUUUCAGUUGAAAAGAAAAAGUCGUGACUAAUAAUCAUGGCUCAUGACGGUAUCAACAGAAGAAGCACCGGCUAACUACGUGCCAGCAGCCGCGGUAAUACGUAGGGUGCAAGCGUUAAUCGGAAUUACUGGGCGUAAAGGGUGCGCAGGCGGUUCUGUAAGUCAGAUGUGAAAUCUCCGGGCUUAACCUGGGAACUGCGUUUGAAACUGCAGAGCUAGAGUGCGGCAGAGGGAGGUGGAAUUCCAUGUGUAGCAGUGAAAUGCGUAGAGAUAUGGAAGAACAUCGAUGGCGAAGGCAACCUCCUGGGCUAGCACUGACGCUCAUGCACGAAAGCGUGGGGAGCAAACAGGAUUAGAUACUCUGGUAGUCCACGCCCUAAACUAUGUCAACUAGUUGUCGGGUCUUAAUAGACUUGGUAACGUAGCUAACGCGUGAAGUUGACCGCCUGGGGAGUACGGUCGCAAGAUUAAAACUCAAAGGAAUUGACGGGGACCCGCACAAGCGGUGGAUUAUGUGGAUUAAUUCGAUGCAACGCGAAAAACCUUACCUACCCUUGACAUGUCAGAAAAUUUUCAGAGAUGAAUUUGUGCCCGAAAGGGAAUCUGAACACAGGUGCUGCAUGGCUGUCGUCAGCUCGUGUCGUGAGAUGUUGGGUUAAGUCCCGCAACGAGCGCAACCCUUGUCAUUAAUUGCCAUCAUUAAGUUGGGCACUUUAAUGAGACUGCCGGUGAUAAACCGGAGGAAGGUGGGGAUGACGUCAAGUCCUCAUGGCCCUUAUGGGUAGGGCUUCACACGUAAUACAAUGGCG